rnacentral:tRNA from 1 species
AGGAUAAUAGUUAAUCAUAACAUUUGAGUUGCAAUCAAAAAGUAAUAAUUUUUAUUUUAUCUUG